AGGUUGCGGGGCGCAGCGAGUGCAUCACACGGGCAUCGGCAGGCGCUCUGAGCAAACCGUUCCCUCACCGGCUGCAAAAUGUCGUCUCCGUGCUGCGAUGUUUGCAAGGAUACCUGCAAGGAGGAAGAAAAAUGUGGAAAGGAGUGCAAGUGUCCUGAGAGCUGUAAAUGUUGCCAGUCAGGGAAGGAUGAUACAAAGGGCAGCCAGUGUGAGUGCAAACAGGGUGAAAAUGCUCCAUGUGUGUGUCCUGAGAACAGCUGCAAAUGUGAAUGAAUAACCUUAAUCAUCAGCCAGUGUUUCACCUACAGUACCACUAUUUAAGACUUGUCCUGUGUUAUAAAUUAUUUUAAUUAUGUCCCUGAAGAACAAUAAAACAUAUGUACAGUGAAA